AUGCUAAUAAUUAGUUUAUUUGUCAAAAUAAAUGUUUUGUAAAUAUGCGGUAAAGGAAAUAAAAAAGACGAACACCGCUGUGUUUCGUUCAUACUGUAUUUCAAAAGAUUAAAUUAAUGUCGGCUGUCAGAGAUUUUUCUUACAUUGAAGAAAAUAUUCAUCAUCAUGCAGAAUUCGACGUAUCAUUUCCGUCGGAUGAUGAUUCCGACGAUGAAAUUUCAUUAUCAGAGAAAUGAAUGGUCGGAAAAUGUUAAGUUUUAGAAGGCUGAAAUAUCCGUACACUUACAUCGCAUUAAAUACAAAUGGAUAAAAAUAAUACAACAAAACAUGUUUCAUACAUGAAAUGUGUGUAAAUAAAUGCUUUUGUAAAUUUAAUAAUUCUUUAAAGAUGGGUGUACAUAUUACAGCUUAACUGUCUCAGUUCGCGUCACACAAGGUUUGUUUACAUCAAAAUAAACCAUCGAUAUUCCCUCAAAAAUGGGUGUUAAUUUUGAGUAAUGCUGAUGUAAAUACUCUGUGUUAAUAAUGUAUUUCUAUUUAUUGGAAUUUAAUCUGCUUACAUGUGAAAAAGUAAUAAAAUCGGAAAUGUUCAAAUAUUUAUUAAAUGCAGUAGGUGUGUAAAAAUGGUGAAUGUUUCGAAGUGAAAUUAUUAUUUUAUUUGGAUAUAAGUUACGGACAAAAGUGGAAAAAUGUUCAAACUUGGAAGAUUUUAUAAGUAAAGUUUUUAAUAAUAUUUCCAUGCAUGAUUUCAAUUGACUGCCUGUGAGAGUGUGGUUAUGAUAAAAUCAGAUAUUGUUCAUCGACGUCAGGUGGUAAUUCUUAUCUCGCCGCAGCAUGUAUAUUAUGAUAUCGGCCUCAGGGAGUUAAAGAUUGCGAAGUUUAUCCCUGAUAAAUGUCUUCAAUUAUUGGAUAUUUUUACACUACAUACAAAAUAUGUACGUGACUGUGUACUCGAGUUCAUGUCGAACAAAAUGAAAGUAUAAAAACUCUUGUUUGGUGUUGUUUAAAUUUAUGAGUAUGGAUUAAAUACUGAAAUGUACAUAUCAUUUUGUGCCAGUGAAUGAAAUUUCUUUUCGUCUGGAUAAGUGUGUAGCAGGGAAAAUACACCGAAUUUAAAUUGGCACGCUUCAAAACAUGACACAGCAUUUCUCGACAAGCGCGGUCAGAUCAUAAAACUUUCAGGCCUCAUAUUGUUUUUAUGCUAUGUCGAAAAAAUUCAUCCUUAUAAAACAAAGAUUGUAUUCAGAUUAUGUCUUCUUUAACAUAAAAAAUGCGAGUCCAGCAGAUUUCCACAGAAGAGCCUUGUCCACGAUUGGCUCGCAUACCAGAUGCUUAAAGAUUCACAACUUACGAUAUUGCGCAUAUUUCUUAAAAUCUACGGCCAAACCCUAAGGAAGGAGACGACUCUGUGACAUAAACAAUGCUGGACCUCUGACUCUGAGACAGUUGAGCACUAUAUUUUCAAAUGAUCAAGCUUCACUACACAGAGAGAAGAGUGGAGGUCAUGGAAUUGCAGCUUUAGAAUGAGUCAGUAUAGGUUGUUUUAAUUUAUUGUGGAAAAAUUACAAUUACAGAGCCUACCAAAACUGAUACAUAUUUUGAUGAAAUUACACUGUCUGGAAGGAGUGUUUUGUAUGUGUUAGUUGUAACUAGCUUAUAUACUGAGCUCUAACAAUAUUAAGCAAUUUAGACUUUCAUGAAUUUUGUUUUUAGCUCGACUGUAUUAAUUGUGGAGAGCUGUCCUACUUAGCCCGGCGUUUACGUCCUUACACGUCUGCUCCGUUUAAGUUUUGAUGCACUUUCUUUUUAUCUCUGUAAUGACUCGAUGGAUUUGUUUCAAACUUAAAAUAGUUAUUUCACAUCAUCACUAACAUCAUAUGGUACAAAGACAUUGCUCUUACACCAAUAUUUCAUUAAUUAUUCCUCCUUUUACUUAACAUUUCGGGUUAAAGUUUUGAUGCAGAUGCACUUUCACUCAUUCUCAGUUAUUAUUAAAUGGAUUAGAGUCAAACUUGACAUAGUUGUUUGACAUCAUGACCCACAUCACAUGACACAACUCCAUAAUUCUAGAGGCAAUUUGUUAUGAAUUAUGCCCCCUUCACUUAGAAUUUGAGGUCAAUUUUGAUGCAUUUUCACUACGUCUCUGUUAUUAACAGAGAAAGUUUGAUUCACACUUAAAAUAGUUGUUCCACAUGAUCAUUCACAUCAUACAACACAAGGUCCAUAACUCUGGCACCGAUUUUUUAUGAAUUUAUACCCUCUUUAAAUUUGAAUUUAUGGUUAAUUUUGACUAUAUCAUUGAUUUUACAGAGCAGAUUUGAUUCAAGCUUGAAUUGAUUGUUUAACAUCAUCAUUCACAUCAUUAGACAUAAGGGAUCAUUUAUCUCAAUCACCAGUUCUUCAUGAAUUUAUUUUCUCCCCUAGAAGAAUUCCAGGUUACAGUUUUGGUGCACUUUCACUCUAUCUCAGGUACUUCUAAAUGGAUUUGAUUCAAACUUAAUAAAGUAGUUGUUCCACAUCAUCACGCAAAUCUCAUGACACUAGGUACAUCACUCUUGCAUCAUUAUUUUAUGAAUUAUGACCUUUGUUGUAGACGUUUUAGAAUUUUACUUAUGUUUUAAUAAACUUUAUCUAUCUUAUUACUUAAUAAUUUUGACACGGGCUCAAGUUAGGCAAAAAAUAGGUCCGUUUCGAGUUUCCUGUCAAAACAAAAGAGGGUAUGUAGGUAGGACUUCUUGUUUUGAUGCCUUGAAAUUCUUCGACGAUGAAGAGCUGCAAGGUAAAUAAUCAUACUGGUUAAAUAUGCCAUCAGCUAAUUUGUGAUCUGGAACAGUUGUAAGUUGUUGGCCGUUUUAUAAUGCAAAAAAGUUUUAUCAAAGCCAAAAGUCUAUGUUUAAAUCCUUUCCGCAGCUGUAAAGUAAUUAAACGUAUUUGCGUCUGAUGAACCUUUCAGGCGUCCGUAGAAUCAAAAUUUAAAAUCUAUUACCUAAAAUUCAUCUUGAAAAUAUUUUUGAAACGUCUAAGUCUGCAGCUCUCAAAUACGGAUUUUUUUACAUUUUAGGCAUAUAUUGACACUUUCAGACAAAUAGGACUUUUUGAGUGAUUUGAUUAAGUUCCAGAAUCCUCUAUGUACCCUU